UCAGAAACUGCUACUCAAGUGUACCCUCCUGGUUCUAGGGUUCCAUUGUGGUGACAACAAAUUACAAGCAGCUUACUUCCUCAGAGCCCAUCACUACCAACACCAACUGACAGCUUCGAGAAGGACCUCAGUACCACUUUCCCUAACCAAAAUUUUCCUCUUUACUCCAAGCCCUGACAAGGAUAAAUCUCUAAACUUUAGAAACAAUGUAAUUUUACAAAUUAACUUAUACGCAGGGUUACUUCCUUUCCAAUUUGAUCAGGGAAUGCAGGGCAAGAAUAACCCAAAAUAUGCAAUGUAAAUCAUGUUGAAAUUAAAAUGUAUUUCCAUCUCCACCCCUCCACGAUGGCAUAAUUUCAAAUCAACUUAUAUAAUGCAUAUCUAGUCCUCUGAAAAAUCAUUUUUAAAAGUAGGGCUGUUAUUAUUCUGUCCUAGCUAUCGCAGAUCAAUUUAGAUUUGUUCUGUAAGAUUUCAGAUUUUCCCCAAAUGACACAGGUGGUUAUUUUAUAUGUAUCAGUCAUUAAAAGAUUAAUCCUUUUUAACUAAAAAGAGACAGUACGGUCAUUUACAAGUUAAAGUAGAUUUAUUCUGAGCUGGUGCUCUGGGGUCUUACUUCUCUAAAAUUUUGUGAUUUACAAUACACCACAUGUAGGAAACAGCUUCCAAAAUUUGUAUUGCUUCCUACAAAUCAGACAGGACUUUCAGGAGAAGGAGCCUAGGAUAGAUUCUCUGUUAAAUUUUGGAAUCCCUUCUCUCAAGAGUAACCUACUAUAAACUAUUUACCAAGCCUUUGUGAAAUCUGUAUAACAGGUUACUACUCCAUUGAGCAAGAAAACACAGGAAACAGGAUUCGAAGAUUUAAUGUUACUGCUCAUACUCCAAAUUAUAGAAUGCUUAAGAUAAUUAAAUUAUCUGACUUUUAUAAUUCACUACACGGUGACCUCAAAUUUACCUCAUUAGAAUAUUUAGUACUUCUGCACUUCUCCCACUUCUCAAAGUUUUCCCAUACCAGGAUUCCCCACCACCUAGGAACAGCCUUUGCAAGAUACCAAUGCUCUCUAAAUCCCCAAAGCAGGGUCUAUUUCCUGAUCGAACAAAGAGCAACAAAGAAGUGGGUGGUAACCACCUCUCUGAGGCAAGCCAGGACCCAUGGAGUCUGAUCUACAACACAAGCAGUAGCAGUUCCACAUCUCCCUACCACCUCUUAUUUCCUACGAAGUCUUUCUGCCUGAAACUGGAAAACCCGAACUAUUAUUGAGGAAGUGAAGCCCUUCCAUUUGAAUCCUGAGAAAGACGCGCUCAAAGAACCCAGCGAACAAAGGAGAGGGUUGGAGCCCACGCAAAACAUGGGUGUGAUAAAGCCACACGCGACCUGAGCCCCCACCCUCAGUAACUACUCUCCAGCGCCCACCGGGAGGAGGGGUCCGGGGAAAGGAUUGGCAUCCUCUGCUUCUGCAGAAAACAUGGCUACCAACAGCUUCUGUAUCCACCUGCGGAGGAGACUGACUGCUCUGUUAUUCCCCCAGCAUCUGUGAAGAGGCUCUGACUGGCUAAAGUGUUGGAAGGAGUCUGUAGCUUUAGGGGAAGACAGAGCCACAAGAUGGAAGGAGCUUGGAUGUCUGAACUAUUCCAUGGAGAAAAGCUGCAGCCAACGAAGAACACCUGCAAUGGACUCUUAACCUGGGGGUGACGACAACCACUGAAAUAUGCUGCAUCUUAGUCCAGGGAUUUUUAAAGUGUGGUUCCUGGAAGAGCUGGAUCAGAGUCAUCUGUGUUGAUGGUUUAACAUAAAGAUUUUCGAGCCCCAAGACUCAAGUAGGACAAGGAAUUUGAAUUUUUAAGCAGCUCACCUGACUUGUCUGUCCUCUAAUGUCUGAAGACAUCUGACCUCUGCUCUUUCAGUAAAAGCAACAAUGGUUUUAUGAGCAUUGUCGUCACAUCUCUCCACUCAAGGGAUCCUUCUCAUUUCUCCCAGCUGAGGUCACCCACAGCUGCUGCUUCUAACUGCUGGCUUCCAGCCUGCUGUCUGCCAGCUGGCUCUACCCUCUCCUAUAACACGGCAGAGAGUAGCUGUGGUCUCCUGCGUGCUCACCCUCUGCUCCCUUGGUCCUGCUCCAUGCUUUGGUCCUGCACUUAAAUUUUACAAGCAUACUCUCUUUCUCUUAAGAUGAAGGAGCUGAGGCUGGAGAAGUUAAGAGACCCCUGCUAGAUAGGAAGGCACGUGAGAAGUAUACUGCUCUGUCUCCUGUGGAGUAAAAAGACUUUGGCGUUCUCAGAAGAAAACCAAAUGAGAUCACACGAAUGAGACUGCUGUUUCCUUCCUAGCAUCUCUCGGAAUGGCUGAAAAUAUGACACUUGACAGUCCUUUGUACCGGACCCAUCUACGUGGCUCCCCUGGUAAAAAAUCCUGAGUUGUAAUUUAUGGCAAACAUUUCUUCAAGCUCCUGCUCUUGGAAUGGAAUACAUGAAUGUGAAUUCCACCAAAGAUAGUAAUG
rnacentral:lncRNA from 10 species